UAGUGGCGCACGGGUGCGUAACGCGUGGGAAUCUGCCCUUGGGUUCGGAAUAACUUCUGGAAACGGAAGCUAAUACCGGAUGAUGACGUAAGUCCAAAGAUUUAUCGCCCAAGGAUGAGCCCGCGUAGGAUUAGCUAGUUGGUGAGGUAAAGGCUCACCAAGGCGACGAUCCUUAGCUGGUCUGAGAGGAUGAUCAGCCACACUGGGACUGAGACACGGCCCAGACUCCUACGGGAGGCAGCAGUAGGGAAUAUUGGACAAUGGGCGAAAGCCUGAUCCAGCAAUGCCGCGUGAGUGAUGAAGGCCUUAGGGUUGUAAAGCUCUUUUACCCGGGAUGAUAAUGACAGUACCGGGAGAAUAAGCCCCGGCUAACUCCGUGCCAGCAGCCGCGGUAAU
rnacentral:rRNA from 1 species